rnacentral:lncRNA from 1 species
UUUAAGAAAUUUUUGUGUUUAAUCACUGUUUAUAUUUGGUUCCAUUGCAGGGGGUCAAAGGUGACAGAGGUCCUCCAGGAGCACCUGGAGAUAAAGGUGAAAAGGGCCCCCCAGGACCUCCUGGUUAUCCAGGGGCAGCGGGAGCUAUGGGUCAACCUGUGAGUAUUUUAAAAUGCCACUUUUAUAAAAGAACACAUUCAGCUUGUAUAGGUAUACUUAAAAACCUUAAAUUUUUGCUGUAUCUGUAGGGUAAUGAUGGAAACCCUGGACCUAUUGGACCACCUGGAGCUCCUGGAGAAAAGGCAAGGCUAAUUUUUUUCUGUGAUUUAAAUGUCUA